CACAAAAAACCAUAAGCAAAUUAUUUACCCAUUAUAUUUCAUGCUGACGAUUAUAUAUUUUAUUCCCAGUGGAAAAAUUGCUUGAAUUAAUGUUAAGAGUUGUCCAUUUCUAAGUGAUUUAUCGUGUAUUUGAGCGUGGCCGGGAUAAUUUCUGGAAGCAUGUGAGAUGCUGAAUCAAUAUCACUUAGAGCUAUUUACUCUUAAUAAAACAUAUUUUUCAUUGAAAUGCCACUGUAUAGCAAGUAUAGAUAGUUGUUUUAAGUUAAUUAUGUUGUAUAGUGUUGUGAAAUUUUAUUAGAAAAGUGAUUUGUUGAUCAAAAUUCUGCUGGACAAGGGGGCCAGUAAUGGGUUAGAUUUCGCCAGACCUUCUGCAAAAUUGGUUGCAAAUUAAGCAUGGGAAAAAUAAUGAAAUAUGGAUCAGCUUUUGGAACCAGGAAGAGACCUACAAGUGGUACCCCAGCCAUGGAUCAUGAAAUUUCCAAUACUUACCAGAUGAGUUCUAAUGCUAGGUGUAUGGUGUGUCAAAAACCAGCUAAAUAUUGUUGUAAAGGAUGCCAUAAAGGAUCAUACUAUGGAGAGAGUGUGCUUCCAGCCAAGAAACUGAAAUUAGUCUUAAAUUUUGAAAAGUGCAUCGCCUGUCGAGUAGACAAUUCUUAUUGCUUAUGAACAAGACUUAAUGGUUCAACAUAAUACACCAGUGCUCAGAAGAAAUGUGCUGCUUUGUCAAGAAUUCUAAAACCCAAGUUUCUUGUGAAAGAAAUGAAAUGACAUGGUUUUUGCUUAAAGAAAAUUAGUAGUCAUAAUAUUCUUUGGAAAUUGAAUACUUUGGUUCCUGAAAUCAGUUCAUCAUGGUUAUUGAAGCAAAGCAUCUCAACUUCAACUGCAAGCACAGCUGCAUUAUGUUUUUCAAGGGCAACAAAUCUAAACACAAAUGGAAUCAAGGAAAGCUUAACAGUAUUGAAUGUACAGAUCAACAACAGAAGUUCUACAUGAAAUCAAAGAAAAAAAUGACAGGUCCUAAAGAAAGUGCUGCUGUGCAUUGACAUAAUUAGCUAACAACGUGAGGUACCACAAGAUAAUUAUGGAUGCCAGAUUGUCUACAGAAAAUUAAACUUUGAACCAAAUCAUAGUGCAGCAUUUUGUAACUUUGUCUUUUAUUAAAUGGGAGUUAAGAAGAGGAAAAGUUAACUAUACUUCAGUAUUGAUGGACAUCUUCAAAGAUGAGAUUACUAAAGCAGAAGGUUCUGUUUCUAACAUUUGUUUUAAAAACUUAAAAAGAUAACUGGUUGGUAAUUUUGGGAUGGAUAUCAAAUUCGUGAAAAAGGAAAGAAAAUAAUUUGUUUAUCUCAAGAGUGCCUGGAUAGUGUACAGCUAAGCACAUUGUGAUUUACUGCAGCUCGCGAGUAUACCUUGUGAAGAAUUAUUAUUAGUAUCCAUUAUCUUACCUAAUCUAAUCUUAUCUAACCUAAUAAGUUUCUGAUUAUUAC